CGGGCAGUAGCUCAGUGGUGGAGCGCCCGCUUCAUGUGCGGGGAGACCCGGGUUCGAUUCCCGGCUGCUUAC
rnacentral:tRNA from 1 species